rnacentral:rRNA from 1 species
UGCAGCAAUGUACCNUAGAGCGGCGGACUGGUGAGUAACGCGUGGGUGACCUGCCCCGGAAGUUGGGAUAGCCGUUAGAAAUAGCGGGUAAUACCGAAUGUGGUUGGGGUGCUGUGGCACCCUAAAGAAAGGGGCUUUGGCCCCGCUUCCGGAUGGGCCCGCGUCCCAUUAGCUAGUUGGUGAGGUAAAGGCCCCCCAAGGCGAUGAUGGGUAGCCGGCCUGAGAGGGUGAACGGCCACAUUGGGACUGAGAUACGGCCCAAACUCCUACGGGAGGCAGCAGCUAAGAAUAUUCCGCAAUGGACGAAAGUCUGACGGAGCGACGCCGCGUGAAUGACGAAGGCCGAAAGGUUGUAAAAUUCUUUUAUUGCUGAAGAAUAAGUGCGGGAGGGAAUGCCCGUAUGAUGACGUUAGGCA